GCUUGUCUCAAAGAUUAAGCCAUGCAUGUCUAAGUAUAAACAACUUUAUACAGUGAAACUGCAGAUGGCUCAUUAAAUCAGUUAUAAUUUAUUUGAUGAUUAACUUUACUACAUGGAUAACCGUAGUAAUUCUAGAGCUAAUACAUGCGAAAAGUCCUGACUUCUUCGUGAGGGAGGGAUGUAUUUAUUAGAUAACAGACCAUCUCCCCCAAAGGAAAUGUGGUGAAUCAUAGUAACUAAUCGGAUCGCAUGGGCUUUGCCCGCGACAAACCAUUCAAGUUUCUGCCCCAUCAGCUUUCGAUGGUAGUGUAUUGGACUACCAUGGCUAUUACGGGUAACGGAGGAUUAGGGUUCGAUUCCGGAGAGGGAGCCUGAGAAACGGCUACCACAUCUAAGGAAGGCAGCAGG
rnacentral:rRNA from 1 species